UAUCCUAGAUUUUGACAGUUCAACAUGCAGAACUUCAAUAAAACAAUAGUCCUGAUAUUUGGGUUUCGUGCUUUUGACUCGCCAAGUAUUUCGUUUCUUUACUUGCUGUGCCGUAAGGCCUGCUGUUAUGGUUAUUCACAUUAAUCUAGACAAUCAUGACAAUGUGAAUAUCCUAAGAUGUAAUAUUGUACUUGAUUCUCUGACAUGUCUGAUGACCAUUUAAAAUGUAGAGUAGUUCAUGUUCGAUGACAGCCUGUAUAUAUAUUUUCUGUUCCUGAUAGACUGUGUUUGGGGCCAUUCAAUGAGGAAGAAUCAGGGCACUGUCGUAUAGAACUCCUUUAUAGCUCCUACAGGGAAUUAUUAAGGUUUCUUUGGAAGAACACUAGCUACGCUAGGCAUGUUGUAUCAGCCUUUGGUCAACUGUACUGGAAGUUAAUUAAUGAUUUUCAUAAACAUACAUCCCACAUGUUCUUUCAUUUGACAGCCCUUUGAGUAAUCACUUAUUUGUUUUCCUGUUUUUGUUGUUAAAAAUAACAUCACAUGUAUAAUGAUAACUUGUGUUUUAUGUAUAUGCUUUAAAUUUGCUUGAAGAACUACUGCAAUUUCUUUUCUAAACAUAGUUAAUCCUCUUUAAGCAAUAAUACAUUUUGCAUGUUUUCCUGUAAUAUGACUUUGUAUUGUAUUCCUUGAUUUUGUUAUGCUCUAAAUUAUCUCAUCUGGCAGGCUCCAUAAACAUUAUUAUAACUGUGUCCAUGAACAUAAACGACCACUAAAAUGAUGCAUACAUCGGAGACGUAAUCUUAUCCCCAUUUUAUGUAUAAAAACGCGCCAAUACUGCUGGCACCGUCAAUGAGCUGAAAUUCUGGUGAAAAGGUAUACAUCAAAUACAAUUCUAAACUGACCUUUUAAUUUUUAAUUUUUAAAAUGUUUUCGGGACAGAUACAACAAUGAAGCCAAUGUGUUUAUGAUUUUUUUUGGUUUUUCUAGUCAAAGGAUAUAUGUUGAUAUCAAAUUCAACAUUCUAAAAGAAUUGAUCAUCCAGUUUUAAUUUUUUUCACAGAAGAUGAAUAAAGUAGCAUUUACCUGUACAUCACCUCAAA